CUACGGGAGGCUGCAGUUAGGAAUAAUCUACAAUGCGCGCAAGCGUGAUAGUUUGAGCCAGAGUGCUUUUCAACGAAAAGCUUUUGUGAAAUGUAAAAAGUUUCUCGAAUAAGGACUGGGUAAGACUAGUGCCAGCCGCCGCGGUAAUACUAGCGGUCCAAGUCGCAGCCAUUUUUAUUGGGUCUAAAACAUCCGUAGCUUGCUUAAUAAGUUUCUUGUGAAAUUUCAUGUCUUAAAUGUGAAGCGUGCAAGAAGUACUGUUAAGCUAGAGACUGGGAGACGUAAGAAGUACGUUCAAAGUAACGGUAAAAUGUGUUAAUCUUGAACGGACUAACAAUAGCGAAGGCAUCUUACGAGAACGGUUCUGACAGUCAGGGAUGAAGGCUAGGGGCGCAAAACGGAUUAGAUACCCGCGUAGUC
rnacentral:rRNA from 1 species